GGGUUGUGAGGUUAAGCGACUAAGCGUACACGGUGGAUGCCCUGGCAGUCAGAGGCGAUGAAGGACGUGCUAAUCUGCGAUAAGCGUCGGUAAGGUGAUAUGAACCGUUAUAACCGGCGAUUUCCGAAUGGGGAAACCCAGUGUGUUUCGACACACUAUCAUUAACUGAAUCCAUAGGUUAAUGAGGCGAACCGGGGGAACUGAAACAUCUAAGUACCCCGAGGAAAAGAAAUCAACCGAGAUUCCCCCAGUAGCGGCGAGCGAACGGGGAGGAGCCCAGAGUCUGAAUCAGUGUGUGUGUUAGUGGAAGCGUCUGGAAAGGCGCGCGAUACAGGGUGACAGCCCCGUACACAAAAAUGCACAUACUGUGAGCUCGAUGAGUAGGGCGGGACACGUGGUAUCCUGUCUGAAUAUGGGGGGACCAUCCUCCAAGGCUAAAUACUCCUGACUGACCGAUAGUGAACCAGUACCGUGAGGGAAAGGCGAAAAGAACCCCGGCGAGGGGAGUGAAAAAGAACCUGAAACCGUGUACGUACAAGCAGUGGGAGCCUCUUUUAUGGGGUGACUGCGUACCUUUUGUAUAAUGGGUCAGCGACUUAUAUUCUGUAGCAAGGUUAACCGAAUAGGGGAGCCGAAGGGAAACCGAGUCUUAACUGGGCGUUAAGUUGCAGGGUAUAGACCCGAAACCCGGUGAUCUAGCCAUGGGCAGGUUGAAGGUUGGGUAACACUAACUGGAGGACCGAACCGACUAAUGUUGAAAAAUUAGCGGAUGACUUGUGGCUGGGGGUGAAAGGCCAAUCAAACCGGGAGAUAGCUGGUUCUCCCCGAAAGCUAUUUAGGUAGCGCCUCGUGAAUUCAUCUCCGGGGGUAGAGCACUGUUUCGGCAAGGGGGUCAUCCCGACUUACCAACCCGAUGCAAACUGCGAAUACCGGAGAAUGUUAUCACGGGAGACACACGGCGGGUGCUAACGUCCGUCGUGAAGAGGGAAACAACCCAGACCGCCAGCUAAGGUCCCAAAGUCAUGGUUAAGUGGGAAACGAUGUGGGAAGGCCCAGACAGCCAGGAUGUUGGCUUAGAAGCAGCCAUCAUUUAAAGAAAGCGUAAUAGCUCACUGGUCGAGUCGGCCUGCGCGGAAGAUGUAACGGGGCUAAACCAUGCACCGAAGCUGCGGCAGCGACGCUUAUGCGUUGUUGGGUAGGGGAGCGUUCUGUAAGCCUGCGAAGGUGUGCUGUGAGGCAUGCUGGAGGUAUCAGAAGUGCGAAUGCUGACAUAAGUAACGAUAAAGCGGGUGAAAAGCCCGCUCGCCGGAAGACCAAGGGUUCCUGUCCAACGUUAAUCGGGGCAGGGUG
rnacentral:rRNA from 1 species